GCAUUUGCACGAAAUGUCUGUGAGGCAUGUAAAACACAGUGUGAGUCGUCUGGGAAAUCCUUGUGGUUGGAAUGCCAGGGCGGUGAAGUUCUCAACGCCUUGGAAUGGAACAAACAUGGAACCGAAUGACAUGAAACCAGGGUUGAAGCAAAGGAAACAAGGUGGCAAGGAAAAGCGGUGAAGGAGAGCAAUCAAUGGCAUAAGGGAAACUCUGUCGAUAAAGGAUGGAAAGAAAUAAGAGACCACAAGGAGCAACAUCAUUGAGGAACACGUUGCGGAGGAAAAGAGUUGAGGAAUUGAAGAGAAAAAAAAAUCCAGCAUAGGAAACGAUGAUAGAUAAAAUGAAGUUAAGAGGAGGAAACAAGGAAGGAAAAGGAGAUAAAAGGAGUCAAGUGACAGAAACAAGUGCAAAGUAGGAGUCAAGGAAAGAAAGUGUGGCUGAGGAAUUGAGUCGAGGAAAUAGGAAUCGAGGAAAAGGAAAGACCAGGAGAUGACGGGAAGAGUCAAAGGAAGGAAUUCAAGUCAAGGAAAGGAAACAAGACCAAGAGGAGAUGAGGGAAGGAGGCAAGUAAUUAAGGUGUUGCAGAGCUUGCGUGCGUCUUAAAAUAACUCCAAAACCAAAAAUGGAGCCAGUGGCCUCCAGCAAGCAGACCACACCCACACGGCGCAUAUUUAAGCAGCGGGCGUGAAGGUGACAAGGAAGAAACAGAAGAUCAACAUGACUUCCUGUUCCUCCUGCACGGUACUACCAGUGCUUGCUGGACUUCGGCCACCGCGCCGCCGAUGCCGAGUCUUGUACCCACCGUCUCGCUGCAGGCGGUGGACCCCGAGGGAGGACCCAGACCGGGCCCUACGCUGGCUCCGCCUCCUCGCAGCGCUGGUAUUCAUGCAGAUUUUCAGUGAGGACUCGAGUCCAGAUGCGAUGAACACUGAAAGCCGUGAGGGGGACCAGCCCACAACGCUCGAGCACGAUUUGACCCCAGAGCGGCCACGGGGGGUCCGAGGAGUGACCGGCGCUUCGGAGUCACCGGUGGACCGUCUGGUCAGCUGACCCCGUGGAAGGAAACACAAGCUCCGACAUUUCACUUGUUCCAAAACAUUUCUGUCAUGUAACAUAUGUAAAUAUAUCAUGAUCCCGUUUGUACACGUCUAUGCAAUAAAUUAUAGUAUUCG